CCUACGGGAGGCAGCAGUGAGGAAUAUUGGUCAAUGGGCGAGAGCCUGAACCAGCCAAGUCGCGUGAAGGAAGAAGGUUCUAUGGAUUGUAAACUUCUUUUGUAAGGGAAUAAAGUUCGCUACGUGUAGCGUUUUGUAUGUACUUUACGAAUAAGGAUCGGCUAACUCCGUGCCAGCAGCCGCGGUAAUACGGAGGAUCCGAGCGUUAUCCGGAUUUAUUGGGUUUAAAGGGUGCGCAGGCGGGUCCUUAAGUCAGUGGUGAAAGUUUGCAGCUCAACUGUAAAAUUGCCAUUGAAACUGAGGGUCUUGAGUGUAAAUGAGGUAGGCGGAAUGUGUUGUGUAGCGGUGAAAUGCUUAGAUAUAACACAGAACACCAAUUGCGAAGGCAGCUUACUAGGAUACAACUGACGCUCAGGCACGAAAGCGUGGGGAUCAAACAGGAUUAGAUACCCUGGUAGUCCACGCAGUAAACGAUGAAUACUAACUGUAUGCGAUAUACUGUAUGUGGUAAAGCGAAAGCGUUAAGUAUUCCACCUGGGGAGUACGUUCGCAAGAAUGAAACUCAAAGGAAUUGACGGGG
rnacentral:rRNA from 1 species